AGGCCUAUCAGUAUCCUGAGUAGGGCGGGACACGUGAAAUCCCGUUUGAAUCCGCGAGGACCAUCUCGCAAGGCUAAAUACUAACCAGUGACCGAUAGUGAACCAGUACCGUGAGGGAAAGGUGAAAAGAACCCCGGGAGGGGAGUGAAAGAGAACCUGAAACCGUGUGCCUACAAGUAGUCAGAGCCCGUUAACGGGUAAUGGCGUGCCUUUUGUAGAAUGA
rnacentral:rRNA from 1 species